rnacentral:tRNA from 1 species
GACUCCAUAGUGAAGUGGUUAGCACAUCUGCUUUACACGCAGAAGGUCCUGGAUUCUCGCCCCAGGUGGAGCCA